CUAAUAUAUUCGACAAUUUUCCACCAGAUAACGCCUUAUCACACACACACAACUAUCUGAUGUCGUUUUUUCGGGGGUACGGAUCUCCAUCCUUAGAAUUGUCAGCGAGUGGCUUUCUUUACAUUUUCAAAACUUUGCUCAACACUUUCCGGUUCUCGAAACCGCUUUUUCCCAUAAGAAGAUGCCAUGCUCUUUUGCCAACAAAAUUCA